rnacentral:rRNA from 1 species
GACGAACGCUGGCGGCGUGCCUAAUACAUGCAAGUCGAACGCAUUUUCUUUCACCGUAGCUUGCUACACCGACAGAAAAUGAGUGGCGAACGGGUGAGUAACACGUGGGUAACCUGCCCAUCAGCGGGGGAUAACACUUGGAAACAGGUGCUAAUACCGCAUAAUUCCAUUUACUGCAUGGUAGAUGGAUGAAAGGCGCUUUUGCGUCACUGAUGGAUGGACCCGCGGUGCAUUAGCUAGUUGGUGGGGUAACGGCCUACCAAGGCUGCGAUGCAUAGCCGACCUGAGAGGGUGAUCGGCCACACUGGGACUGAGACACGGCCCAGACUCCUACGGGAGGCAGCAGUAGGGAAUCUUCGGCAAUGGACGCAAGUCUGACCGAGCAACGCCGCGUGAGUGAAGAAGGGUUUCGGAUCGUAAAACUCUGUUGUUAGAAAAGAACAAGGAUGAGAGUGGAAAGUUCAUCCCUUGACGGUAGCUAACCAGAAAGCCACGGCUAACUACGUG